GAUGAACGCUGGCGGCGUGCCUAAUACAUGCAAGUCGAGCGAACAGAUAAGGAGCUUGCUCCUUUGACGUUAGCGGCGGACGGGUGAGUAACACGUGGGUAACCUAUCUAUAAGACUGGAAUAACUCCGGGAAACCGGGGCUAAUGCCGGAUAACAUGUUGAACCGCAUGGUUCUACAGUGAAAGGCGGCUUUGCUGUCACUUAUAGAUGGACCCGCGCCGUAUUAGCUAGUUGGUGAGGUAACGGCUCACCAAGGCAACGAUACGUAGCCGACCUGAGAGGGUGAUCGGCCACACUGGAACUGAGACACGGUCCAGACUCCUACGGGAGGCAGCAGUAGGGAAUCUUCCGCAAUGGGCGAAAGCCUGACGGAGCAACGCCGCGUGAGUGAUGAAGGUCUUCGGAUCGUAAAACUCUGUUAUUAGGGAAGAACAAAUGCGUAAGUAACUGUGCGCGUCUUGACAGUACCUAAUCAGAAAGCCACGGCUAACUACGUG
rnacentral:rRNA from 1 species